rnacentral:rRNA from 1 species
UAGGGAAGUCUUCGGCAAUGGACGAAAGUCUGACCGAGCAACGCCGCGUGAGUGAAGAAGGUUUUCGGAUCGUAAAACUCUGUUGUUAGAGAAGAACAAGGAUGAGAGUAACUGUUCAUCCCUUGACGGUAUCUAACCAGAAAGCCACGGCUAACUACGUGCCAG